rnacentral:rRNA from 1 species
GGGUUGUGAGGUUAAGCGACUAAGCGUACACGGUGGAUGCCCUGGCAGUCAGAGGCGAUGAAGGACGUGCUAAUCUGCGAUAAGCGUCGGUAAGGUGAUAUGAACCGUUAUAACCGGCGAUUUCCGAAUGGGGAAACCCAGUGUGUUUCGACACACUAUCAUUAACUGAAUCCAUAGGUUAAUGAGGCGAACCGGGGGAACUGAAACAUCUAAGUACCCCGAGGAAAAGAAAUCAACCGAGAUUCCCCCAGUAGCGGCGAGCGAACGGGGAGGAGCCCAGAGCCUGAAUCAGUGUGUGUGUUAGUGGAAGCGUCUGGAAAGGCGCGCGAU